rnacentral:misc_RNA from 1 species
GAUGAAGAACGCAGCGAAAUGCGAUACGUAGUGUGAAUUGCAGAAUUCAGUGAAUCAUCGAAUCUUUGAACGCACAUUGCACCUCUCGGUAUUCCGGGAGGUAUGCCUGUUCGAGCGUCAUUUGUACCCGCAAGCUCUGCUUGGUGUUGGGUGUUUGUUCCGCCUCUGUGUGUGAACUCGCCUCAAAACAAUUGGCAGCCGGCGUACUUGUUUCGGAGCGCAGCACAUUUUGCGAUCCAGAUCAACGUACAGCGGCAUCCAAGAAGCCUUAUUUAACGCUCUUGACCUCGGAUCAGGUAGGGAUACCCGCUGAACUUAAGCAUAUCAAUAAGCGGAGGA